GAUGAAGAACGUAGCGAAAUGCGAUAAGUAAUGUGAAUUGCAGAAUUCAGUGAAUCAUCGAAUCUUUGAACGCACAUUGCGCCCGCCAGUAUUCUGGCGGGCAUGCCUGUUCGAGCGUCAUUUCAACCAUCAAGCCCCCGGCUUGUGUUGGGGACCUGCGGCUGCCGCAGGCCCUGAAAUGCAGUGGCGGGCUCGCUGUCACUCCGAGCGUAGUAGUUACAUCUCGCUCUGGGCGUGCUGCGGGUUCCGGCCGUUAAAAGCCUUAUUUACCCAAGGUUGACCUCGGAUCAGGUAGGAAGACCCGCUGAACUUAAGCAUAUAAUAAGCGGAGGA
rnacentral:misc_RNA from 1 species